rnacentral:tRNA from 1 species
GUCCCUCGUGAAGCGUUCACGCAGCUCACAGCAUGAAUGUCAUCCGUACGACUCGCGCACUCCUAAAGCGGGUGCCGCAGGUUCGAAUCCUGCCGGGGGCACCA